CCUGGAGGGGGGGCGUCCCUCAGCCUGGAUUGUGAGAGGGUGCAGGCCAGGCCGAGGGAUGACACCAGUGCACA
rnacentral:pre_miRNA from 1 species